rnacentral:rRNA from 1 species
CCUACGGGAGGCAGCAGUAGGGAAUCUUCCACAAUGGGCGAAAGCCUGAUGGAGCAACGCCGCGUGAGCGAAGAAGGUCUUCGGAUCGUAAAGCUCUGUUGUAAGGGAAGAACAAGURCAGUAGUAACUGGCUGCACCUUGACGGUACCUUACKAGAAAGCCACGGCUAACUACG